GUCCUAGCCGUAAACGGUGGGCACUAGGUGUAGGAGGCAUCGACCCCUCCUGUGCCGCAGCUAACGCAUUAAGUGCCCCGCCUGGGGAGUACGACCGCAAGGUUGAAACUCAAAGGAAUUGACGGGGGCCCGCACAAGCGGUGGAGCAUGUGGUUUAAUUCGAUGCAACGCGAAGAACCUUACCCAGGUUUGACAUGUGCCGGACAGGUGUGGAAACACACCCUCCCUUCGGGGCCGGUGCACAGGUGCUGCAUGGCUGUCGU
rnacentral:rRNA from 1 species